UACGUAGGGGGCAAGCGUUGUCCGGAUUUAUUGGGCGUAAAGAGCGUGUAGGCGGCCAGGUAGGUCCGCUGUGAAAACUCGAGGCUCAACCUCGAGAUGUCGGCGGAAACCAUCUGGCUAGAGUCCGGAAGAGGAGAGUGGAAUUCCUGGUGUAGCGGUGAAAUGCGCAGAUAUCAGGAGGAACACCUGCGGUGUAGACGGCUUACUGGACCAUAACUGACGCUGAGGCACGAAAGCGUGGGUAGCAAACAGG
rnacentral:rRNA from 1 species